AACCUAUAUGACGCCGUCCACGGGAGGGAGAGAGAGAGAGAGCCGUCUUCGGGCGACUCACCUUAUCCGCCUCUAUCUUCUCCUCCCCUCCCAUCGCCGACCCAAUGUCGACCUCCUUCAUUCUUCCAAUUCGAAGCAGACAGAACCAGAGAUCGGAGAUCUGUGCUUCCGAUUCACCGCUCGAUCCGCCAAGAUGCAGAUAGUUUCCGAGAAGGCGUCGUCCCUCGAUCUCUUGUCGGUCGUCGUCGCCUCCCUCUCCGACGGAUAUGGGCUCGAUUCCGGCACCGGGGAUGCGUUCGUGGAGAACCGGCUGCUGAUCGUCGUCCUGAUCAUCGUCAUCGUCGUGCUUGUCGGUUGCGUGGCAAUCUUCUUCGUCUGGCGAUUGAGCGGAAGGAAGCCCGCCGAGCCGUCGAAGCCGCUAGUGGUGAAGACCCAGAUGGAUACAGAGGAGGACCAAGGGAAGAAGAAGGUCACCGUCUUCUUCGAGACGCAGACUAGGACGCUGAGGGGUUCGCGAAGGCGCUGGCUGAGGAGGCAAAAGCACGGGACGCACGAUCAGUUUCCUCAAAGUUCGAGCUGAUCCCUUUGUUUUCUUUAGAUAUGGAGAUGGCGAGCCUACUGAUAAUGCUGCCUGGUUCUACAAAUGGUUUACAUAGGGGAAAGAGAGAGGAACCUGGUUGGAAAAUCUUCAAUUUGGUGUGUUUAGUUUGGGCAAUCAGCAAUAUGAACAUUUUAAUAAGGUUGCUGUGGUAGUUGAUGAACUGCUUCAUGAGCAAGGCUCCAAGCACAUUGUCCAAGUGGGGUUGGGAGAUGAUGAUCAGGCUAUUGAGGAUGAUUUCUCUGCAUGGAGGGAGCUUCUUUGGCCGGAGUUGGAUAAGUUACUUCAGGAUGAAAAUGAGACAGGUGCAUCUACUCCUUAUACAGCUGCCAUUCUUGAAUACCGGGUUGUAUUUGUCAAGCUUGAAGAAGUUCCAUAUCUAGACAAAAGUUUGAGUUUUGCAAAUGGCCAUGCUAUUCAUGACAUACAACAUCCAUGCAGCCUCUUGGUUCAUCUUCAAGUCAGAUGUAUAUGAAUGCUUACUCUGUGAUGCCAAAAUUUGACUGUCUUGCACACAGUUUUAUGGAAGGUGGCUGGAAAACUAAUCAUGCCAAAACCAAAGGGCUUAACAUCUGAGAUUAAAAAAGCUCCGUCAUCUGGACUUAAGUGGUCCUUUUCUCCUGGGACUAACCUGCUAUCAGGUGGUGCUGCAAAACUUGAAAAAGAGUCUAGGCAAAAACUAAAUGAGUUUUCCAAGGAACUUAGAACAUUCAGAAUUGUUGACUUGUCAGGUCGUAACUUUGGUGAUGAUGGUCUGUUUUUCUUGCUGAAAGCCUUGGUUACAACAGGCAACAGAGGAAGUUGAUUUUUCUGGCAAUGGGAUUACAGCAGUUGGCCUAAAGGCACUUGAUGGUGUUCUUCAGACGAAUACCAUGCUUAAAACUGUAGUUUCUUUCAACUUUGGGCUUCUUCCUCCACCGGCAGCCAGUGACAAAGCCCUCACAGAACCUUGCUUGUCAAUAUGCCCAAGUGUUAGCCGCCGCAAAGAUCUUGGAAUGCAUCCAUGGUUUUUGAAAGCGCUUGAACUAGCAGUGGAUCAAAUAUAUUUAUGGUAACUGGUUCUUCAGCCAAUUAUCUACACUCGGUGAUUCCUUAAAAUUGUUUGGUAUUAACGCACAGCAAAUAAAAUUGUAAUUUAGCACGAAAAGAUGAUUGUAAUUUAGUUUUCAUUUCUUAUGAAAUUUGCAUCAAGUUACCUUGUUUAUUUUUUUGGAUUUGUUUACCAGUUUAGGUGUUGGACUGAGGCACAGAAUUUUGAUAUUUAGUUUCUUAUUUCUUUUGGUGAAUUUGAAUCAGGAUAGGAUACAAAUUGCUAGUUCUUUAAUACUCAUGAAAUUCAAUGCAUGGCUACAUUGUUUAUUGUUGAAUCUCACUGUCCCAGAAUUAUCACUUAGUAUUAGUCACUUUGUUAAGAUUAAGAGAAUUAUACUUUUCAAGUAACAUUUAUUUCUUCUUUGUCAUCUAUUACCAGCAUAUUUUUUGUUUUUAUAACUUUUGUCAAAAUGAGUAAUUUAACAUUUUUUGGGUAUUGAUUUUGUUUUCUUUAUGUGCUUAUUUCUUAAUAAUUUUUCUCAUUGACCAAGAAGUUUUUGGACAUGUUAUUUUACUUUACAUUAUUCCUAUUUCUUUUCAUUAGAUGUUGAGAUUGUGAAAAUUUCCUAUGCAGUGUCUUUCAGAUAUUUUGAAGGUGAAUGGAUGUAUUCAGAAACUCCAGCUAAACAGUUCAGGUAUUGGAGAUGAGGGUGCAAGGGUUAUUGCAGAUAUGCUGAAAGAAAAUCAAACUUUACGUGUACUGGAACUUAACAAUAAUAUGAUUGAAUAUUCUGUAUGACCUUAUUCUUGGGCAAUCUUUCAUGUUUUUUAUGAAAUUCCUAGAUCUUUUACACUUUGUUUCUGGUGUCCUUACUCCUUACACCUUAUUUCCAUGUGAAAUUUUAUAGGGUUUUGUAAGUCUUGCUGGAGCACUAGUUGAGAAUAAGGCAAUUCGAUCUAUACAUCUCAAGAAAAUAAGACUUACACACACUUAGAUUUUCUAUCCAUGCAGUUCUUUCUUGCAGAUUUAAUUUCUUCAUCAGAUCUGUUGGCUUUCCAGUAUUUAUUGAUUGUACUACUUCUCAGCAAUUAUGUAAAACUAUAUUUCUUCUUGUUUAGGAAAAAUAACACUUCUAGAUAUUGGCAACAAUGAGAUUGGUCCCAAAGGCGCCUUUAGCAUCGUUGAGUUUGUUAAGAAAACUAAGUCCUUGCUAUGGCUGAAUCUUUACAUGAAUUACAUUGGCGAUGAGUUUACAAAUCUCAAGUACUCCAGAGUUAAAAUUGAUGAAGUGCGGUUCUAGUGGAUUGAAUGCAUGCGAGAUUACAUUUGAGUAGAUUAUUUAUGUAUUUUAAAUACAUAAAAAAACCACAUGAAGAUUAUUUAUGGAUACUGUUGUAAGAA